AUUGAACGCUGGCGGCAUGCCUUACACAUGCAAGUCGAACGGUAACAGGUCUUCGGAUGCUGACGAGUGGCGCACGGGUGAGUAAUACAUCGGAACGUGCCCGAUCGUGGGGGAUAACGAGGCGAAAGCUUUGCUAAUACCGCAUACGAUCUACGGAUGAAAGCGGGGGAUCUUCGGACCUCGCGCGGACGGAGCGGCCGAUGGCAGAUUAGGUAGUUGGUGGGAUAAAAGCUUACCAAGCCGACGAUCUGUAGCUGGUCUGAGAGGAUGAUCAGCCACACUGGGACUGAGACACGGCCCAGACUCCUACGGGAGGCAGCAGUGGGGAAUUUUGGACAAUGGGCGAAAGCCUGAUCCAGCCAUGCCGCGUGCAGGAUGAAGGCCUUCGGGUUGUAAACUGCUUUUGUACGGAACGAAAAGCCUCUUUCUAAUAAAGAGGGGUCAGGACGGUACCGUAAGAAUAAGCACCGGCUAACUACGU
rnacentral:rRNA from 1 species